UAAAGUGGCGAACGGCUGAGUAACACGUGGGCAACCUGCCCUUUGCACUGGGAUAGCCUCGGGAAACCGAGAUUAAUACCGGAUACUCCAUAUUUGUCGCAUGGCGAAUAUGGGAAAGCUCCGGCGGCAAAGGAUGGGCCCGCGGCCUGUUAGCUAGUUGGUGGGGUAGUGGCCUACCAAGGCAAUGAUGGGUAGCCGGGUUGAGAGACCGACCGGCCAGAUUGGGACUGAGACACGGCCCAGACUCCUACGGGAGGCAGCAGAC
rnacentral:rRNA from 1 species